UGGCGGCAGGCCUAACACAUGCAAGUCGAGCGGAAACGAGUUAUCUGAACCUUCGGGGGACGAUAACGGCGUCGAGCGGCGGACGGGUGAGUAAUGCCUAGGAAAUUGCCCUGAUGUGGGGGAUAACCAUUGGAAACGAUGGCUAAUACCGCAUAAUGCCUACGGGCCAAAGAGGGGGACCUUCGGGCCUCUCGCGUCAGGAUAUGCCUAGGUGGGAUUAGCUAGUUGGUGAGGUAAUGGCUCACCAAGGCGACGAUCCCUAGCUGGUCUGAGAGGAUGAUCAGCCACACUGGAACUGAGACACGGUCCAGACUCCUACGGGAGGCAGCAGUGGGGAAUAUUGCACAAUGGGCGCAAGCCUGAUGCAGCCAUGCCGCGUGUGUGAAGAAGGCCUUCGGGUUGUAAAGCACUUUCAGUCGUGAGGAAGGUAGUGUAGUUAAUAGCUGCAUUAUUUGACGUUAGCGACAGAAGAAGCACCGGCUAACUCCGUGCCAGCAGCCGCGGUAAUACGGAGGGUGCGAGCGUUAAUCGGAAUUACUGGGCGUAAAGCGCAUGCAGGUGGUUUGUUAAGUCAGAUGUGAAAGCCCGGGGCUCAACCUCGGAAUUGCAUUUGAAACUGGCAGACUAGAGUACUGUAGAGGGGGGUAGAAUUUCAGGUGUAGCGGUGAAAUGCGUAGAGAUCUGAAGGAAUACCGGUGGCGAAAGCGGCCCCCUGGACAGAUACUGACACUCAGAUGCGAAAGCGUGGGGAGCAAACAGGAUUAGAUACCCUGGUAGUCCACGCCGUAAACGAUGUCUACUUGGAGGUUGUGGCCUUGAGCCGUGGCUUUCGGAGCUAACGCGUUAAGUAGACCGCCUGGGGAGUACGGUCGCAAGAUUAAAACUCAAUGAAUUGACGGGGGCCCGCACAAGCGGUGGAGCAUGUGGUUUAUCGAUGCACGCGAAGAACUUACU
rnacentral:rRNA from 1 species